rnacentral:rRNA from 1 species
CUACGUGCCAGCAGCCGCGGUAAUACGUAGGGUGCAAGCGUUAAUCGGAAUUACUGGGCGUAAAGCGUGCGCAGGCGGUUCGGAAAGAAAGAUGUGAAAUCCCAGAGCUUAACUUUGGAACUGCAUUUUUAACUACCGAGCUAGAGUGUGUCAGAGGGAGGUGGAAUUCCGCGUGUAGCAGUGAAAUGCGUAGAUAUGCGGAGGAACACCGAUGGCGAAGGCAGCCUCCUGGGAUAACACUGACGCUCAUGCACGAAAGCGUGGGGAGCAAACAGGAUUAGAUACCCUGGUAGUCCACGCCCUAAACGAUGUCAACUAGCUGUUGGGGCCUUCGGGCCUUGGUAGCGCAGCUAACGCGUGAAGUUGACCGCCUGGGGAGUACGGUCGCAAGAUUAAAACUCAAAGGAAUUGACGGGGACCCGCACAAGCGGUGGAUGAUGUGGAUUAAUUCGAUGCAACGCGAAAAACCUUACCUACCCUUGACA